ACACAUCCGGGAUUACGAGCUUUGCCUCACAAAAAAAAUACAAACCGCGCGAAAAUUCAAAUUUUUGCUCUUUUGACAGCGCUGAGAAACCUUCGAAUAGUGACGAGAAGACCAGACGUAUCCCUUCGUGACAAGCUGCUACUUGUUCUUUUCAGCUCGAGCCUUUUUUGGGAGCUACUCUGGUACAUCGUCCACACUGCUGCCAAGUCUCGACUUCCCAAAAUGGAUGGAAGUGACGAAUAUGGAGGACGCUAUCCUAGGUAAGUAACGUGAUGGAAUUUUCUCAUCUUGACAUGGUGUAACACGAACCUGAAUUUCUCAUUUGGACCCACUCGGACACCUCACCAAGUUGGGAUAUUUCGAAACUAUACCUAUUUGUCUACCAUUCUACUUCAUCUCAACGUGUUAGCUAAUGUAACUCUUUGGAAAACUCAUUCCGAAAAUUUUGAAACUUAUUUAUUUGUAUAGACUUGAACAUAAUGUUCAAGAUCACUUGUUUUCAGCACUGAAUGAGGCCAGGCCUGCUUGCUUUGUUGCUUUUUUAACCCCCAGAACCCGUGGACAGAAGAGGAAGAGCGACGACUUGGGUGCGGCAGCGAAGUCUGCCUGCCCAACGCCAAUUGCUCCUCACCCAAAAACGCACCCCAUUGACGAAGAUCAUCCUUGUAUAGACGAUGAUAAAUACUCUCAUCUGACAAGAACACGUCAUCAGAAGUCACUGCCUGCUGCGAAUAACAGCGCAUCGUGUAUGAGAAUCUCUUCACCAACAAGUAGACACAAAUAUACACCCACACACCUACACACACCCUCGUGUACUUGUACACCACACACGCGCGCGCACGUGCGCAUACAUACAACUAUUCAUCUUUAUCCUUUUGUGUUUGACAUGAUUCCACGGUGCCAUGAAAGUAACAUCUUUACUUAUAAAGAAGAGGCACCUGUGACGUGUGUGUGUGUGUGUGUGUGUGUGUGUGUGUGUGUGUGUGUGUGUGUGUGU